AGAAAGGAGUAGUAAACAGGACCUUUGAUGAAAUAUUUCGUCUUGAAAUCCUUGGAAGGCUUCAAGAUUAUGUGGAAUAUAUGGGUUCUGCUGCACGUGUGAUUCUCGUGCCAUCUAUACGGGACGCAAAUCAUGACUUUGUUUUCCCUCAGCCUGCUUUUGAUAUUCAGCAAGCCGUCUCAAACAUCAGGUA